rnacentral:lncRNA from 1 species
AUGGAAGAGGAGGAAGAGCAGGAGAAUCAGGAGGAAGAGGAGAAGUAUGAACAAGUGGAGGAGGAAGAGGAGGAGGAUGAAGUAGUGGAGGAGGAGGAGAGUUGUAAGCAGGAGGAGGAGGAUCAAGGAGUGGAGGAGGAGGACGAACAAGUAGAGGAGCAGGAAGAGGCAGAGGAAAAGGAGGAGGAGCAGGAGGAAGAGAUGGAGGCAGAGGAUCAGCAGCAGGAGGAGGAGGAACAUAUACACCAGCUGUUCCCAGUGAAGGGAGAGGAGAAGGAGGUGGUUCUGAUCCUGAAAACAGAUUGCAGGUCCUGUCAGGAUGAGUUUAAGGGCACUGCACAGAGCCGUGGCGAGGAGCCCACUGUGGGAUCCCCACCCACCAAGCAUGCUGCAGCCUCAGAUGAGGAGUGCAGUCCUGGGAGGGAUGGGCAGGAGCAGGCAUGGCAAGGGGCACACACUCAGUGCCUGCUGCUCUCUCCCCAAACAUCCUGCAGAGGGAAGCCCUGCACACACUGAGCAGCCUCCAGCUGAAGAGGCUGUGGCCUGGUGCCCCCCAGAACCCCAGCUGCAUAAGAGUGAGAGUCUGCACAGCGGACUGGCUUGGGCCUUCACCUCGAGUACAGUGGUUUCUGCUUUGGAACACGCUGAAGAAGAGGAAACCACAGGACCCAGUCUAAGCUAAAGAGUUUCACCAGCAGGUCCUGGGGAAGUGGGGCCAGGGCUGUGUGCCCUCUUUCCCCAAUUCAGUCCCUGCCUCCGCAUCCCUCUUCUCCUGACUUAUUUGCUCUGAUGUCUAGAGGAGCAAGAAAAACUCUACAAAUUUAUUUCUUCAUAAAUACAUUAUAAAUCCAAGGGUUCUUUAAAAUAUCAAAAAAUGUUAAUUAAUUUGCAUAAAAAGGAAAAACCCCACAAAGAUAUUUAAAUAAAAAUAUUAAAUGUUUUAAAUUUUAAAA